GAAUCAGUGCGCUGGUCGUGCCUCUGGUAUGCACUGGUGUUACUGAUUUCUCCCUUCUGAAGAACUAUCAUGCCAUUAAUUUGGUGUGGUAGGGAAUCAGGACUGUUACUUUGAAAAAAUUAGAGUGUUUAAAGCAGGCUCACGCUUGAAUACAUUAGCAUGGAAUAAUGAAAUAGGACGUUGAUCUUAUUUUGUUGGUUUCUAGGAUUGACGU
rnacentral:rRNA from 1 species